UACGGGAGUGGCAAGCGUUAUCCGGAAUUAUUGGGCGUAAAGCGUCCGCAGGCGGUCUUUUAAGUCUGCUGUUAAAGCGUGGAGCUUAACUCCAUUUCGGCAGUGGAAACUGGAAGACUAGAGUGUGGUAGGGGCAGAGGGAAUUCCCGGUGUAGCGGUGAAAUGCGUAGAUAUCGGGAAGAACACCAGUGGCGAAGGCGCUCUGCUGGGCCAUAACUGACGCUCAUGGACGAAAGCCAGGGGAGCGAAAGGGAUUAGAUACCCCUGUAGUCCUGGCCGUAAACGAUGAACACUAGGUGUCGGGGGAAUCGACCCCCUCGGUGUCGCAGCCAACGCGUUAAGUGUUCCGCCUGGGGAGUACGCACGCAAGUGUGAAACUCAAAGGAAUUGACGGGGGCCCGCACAAGCGGUGGAGUAUGUGGUUUAAUUCGAUGCAACGCGAAGAACCUUACCAGGGUUUGACAUCCUGCGAAUCCCUUGGAAACGAGGGAGUGCCUUCGGGAACGCAGUGACAGGUGGUGCAUGGCUGUCGUCAGCUCGUGUCGUGAGAUGUUGGGUUAAGUCCCGCAACGAGCGCAACCCACGUCGUUAGUUGCCAGCAUUCAGUUGGGCACUCUAGCGAGACCGCCGGUGAUAAACCGGAGGAAGGUGUGGAUGACGUCAAGUCAUCAUGCCCCUUACAUCCUGGGCUACACACGUACUACAAUGCUACGGACAAAGGGCAGCAAACUCGCGAGGGCUAGCAAAUCCCAUAAACCGUGGCUCAGUUCAGAUCGUAGGCUGCAACUCGCCUACGUGAAGGAGGAAUCGCUAGUAAUCGCAGGUCAGCAUACUGCGGUGAAUACGUUCCCGGGCCU
rnacentral:rRNA from 1 species